GGCGGUGGUGUUGGCUGUGAACGAAAAAAAAGAAAAGGGGAGGGGAGGCUGUGUUCCACGCUAGAGAAGAAGGACAAAGAAGAAGAAAAGAAAUUUUGGGUUUCUAGACUAUUCCGAUUCAAUUCGAAUCGGUUUGGUCCAAUUCAAUGAUUCGGUUCGAUUUGCUUGGUUUUCUAAUCCGAUUUGAUUUAUUUUGAUUCUUUUA
rnacentral:lncRNA from 1 species